UCCACGCCCUAAACGAUGAAUGCUAGUCGUCGGAAAGCUCGUCUUUUCGGUGAUGCAGUUAACACAUUAAGCAUUCCGCCUGGGGAGUACGGGUCGCAAGAUUAAAACUCAAAGGAAUAGACGGGGACCCGCACAAGUGGUGGAGCAUGUGGUUUAAUUCGAAGAUACGCGAAGAACCUUACCAAGCCUUGACAUUGAUUGAAUUCACCAGAGAUGGAGAAGUGCCUUUCGAG
rnacentral:rRNA from 1 species